ensembl:lncRNA
GCCAGGGCCCCACCUUCAGGCAGGGGGUGGUGAGUGAUGGGGCGUGGCCGUCACUGGGCUCAGGAAAUGGGAGGGUGGAAAUGGCGCCUCCAGGAGCAGAGGUGGGCCUGGGGCCUGGACUGCCUGGCUCUGUGGACAGGACAGCGGCCACUUCUCCUCUGGCCCCAGGAGCAGCAGCUGAGGGCACGGUGGCAUCGGAGUCCAGAAGGCAGGGGCCCCCACGCGGCCUCCCUCCCAGUGUACUGACUGUAGUAAGUUCUAACUCGGAAUAUUAAAAACGCUCUCUGCGGAGACUCAGGCCUGCCGGGACCCUCUCGUUCAGUGAGCGCCGGCAGCCUGGCCCAGGGCUCAGACCCGCCGCCACGCUGCUGGCCCCCGGGCUAGUAGUUCACGAGCUGAGCCGGGUACACACCCUCCUUUCUGUCCAGCUGCGGGAGGCAGACGGGAGGGGCUCAGUGGCUGUGGCCAGCAGCACGUGGCCCAGCCCGGGGACAGCCACUCCCAACACCUGGCACCUGUUGGUCCGGUCUGGGGGCCACACUGGGCUUCUGGGCCAGGGGCGGCUUCUUGGUCGCACUGCGGGGGGCAGCGGGGGGCCGGCUGGGCUCUUCCUGGUCCGCGGCUGCCACGACUCCGGCCAGCGCGGCGUAGUGCUGCCUCCGCAGCUCCCCGAGCCGCACACGCUCGGCCUCCAGCGUCUUCUCCAGCUCCAGGACUCGCACCUGCAGGCCCGGGCCCACAGCCCCUCAGCGCGGCCCCGGGCCUCCCUCCCCACCCUGCCGGAGCCCAGCCAGGCCGGCACCCACCUGCGACUCCAUCUCCUGCUUCUUCAGCUUGAUGAGGGACAGGCCAGAGAAGUCCAUGGUGUCUGUGGCCGGGAACGGGCUGGUGGAGGUGAUCACCAGGAGCCGGAUGGCCUGCCGAGACCCAGCCGUGACUCAGGGCAGCCUUUGCGGGCCGGAGGCCGCCCCGAGCCCCGGCUGCCCACUCACCUUCAUCAGUUCUGUGCAGGAGCUGAGGAUCCUGGGUGGGGGGAGCACAGGGAGCUUCACCCCCGAGCUUGCGUGGCGAGCCUGGUUCAUCAUGUCCUGUGCACAAAGAGCCCGAGCUGGGAGGGGCGGCCCUGGAACCAUCGUCGAUGGCCGCGGACGUGGCCGCCAUCUCCUUGUCCACCAUGGCACCGAGCUCCUCCUGCCGCACGUCCAGGCUCUUGGGCUGCAGCUCCUGGGAGCACGGGAGUCAGGCAGGUGGACUCACCCCUUCAACCCGAGGCAGUGUGGGUAGGGGGCGGAGCCACAGGCAGAGGCCACCGACCCCGCCCGGCUCACCUGGCCCAGCUGAAGGAUGCCCUGCAGGGGGUCCCGCACCAGGCCGGGCUGCGCCCCAGCCACUCCCUGCCGGUCCUGUAGCUUCUGCGUGAGCUCCAGCGCCCGGGCCCCACACUCGCGACAGCUGUCAAUCAGGCCUGGGGGCAGACACCCGUGAACCCCAAAGCCCCAGGUCCCUUGGGAGGGCCCCCGGUGGGAGCCGAGGCCUGGUGCCCGGGACCCACUUACGGUCAGCAGGGUCGGUGGGGGCCAGGUGGGAGGUGGCACCGCCGUUGAUGAUGGUGUCUGCAGCCAGGUGGGAGAAGCGGGCCAGGGCGGCCACCAGGGAGGAGGCGUCUGGGGGGGGACAGGGAGGGGCCCCUGAGCCGAGAGGGAGGGGACCGCGUGUGCCGCGUGCGCACAGGGCUGGGUUCUGGGGAGAGGUGGGGGCCGCUGCACUCACCCGCCGGGGAUGUCAGGUACUGGGCGUGGCCCUGCUCCAGGGCGCUCACAGUGUCCAGGGCCGCCUGGGCCCUGCUCACCAGGUAGUCUGCGGGCACAGGGAGGGGGAGGGGGUGAGGCCGCAGCACUGUGCGGCCUGCAGCCGGGCUGGGCGCGGGGCGGCCGAGCACCUACCCGGGGAGCUGGUGCAGCGCAGGUGCAGGGGGUCGUCCAGCUUGCUCACCGCGUCCUGCAGGACGCACUCGGCCUCGGCGGCGGCACCACGCAGCACCGCAAACUGCUGGUCCAGCAGCUGCUGCUGCAGCCCCUGCUCCUGUGACUCCUGGGGGAAGAGGGGGGAGCUUAGAGGCCCAGCUUAGAAGCAGUAGGGGGCUGGACAACUCAAUAAAACCCCAAGUAAAGACA